UACGUAGGGGGCUAGCGUUGUCCGGAAUCAUUGGGCGUAAAGCGCGCGUAGGCGGCCCGGUAAGUCCGCUGUAAAAGUCAAAGGCUCAACCUUUGAAUGUCAGUGGAUACUGCCAGGCUAGAGUCCGGAAGAGGCGAGUGGAACUCCUGGUGUAGCGGUGGAAUGCGCAGAUAUCAGGAGGAACACCGAUGGCGAAGGCAGGUCUCUGGGCCGAUACUGACGCUGAGGAGCGAAAGCGUGGGGAGCGAACAGG
rnacentral:rRNA from 1 species